AUGUCCAAGUGUGUCUGGGCCCUGCUAGAUGAGGCCCUAGUGGAACAUAUGAUAGCAUCUGAACAUGAAGAUGCAAGGCUAUGGCUCGCAGUGAUGCAAGAUUCAGUCAGCGAGCAAGAAUUCAAAACGAUCCUAGUGACGCUUUGGGCCAUUUGGUGGGCGAGGAGAAAAGCAAAACAUGAGGAGAUCUUUCAGAGUCCACUAUCGACUUUCAACUUUGUUCAGAACUACAUCGCUGAAUUGGACUUAGUGCCGGCAAAGCAAAAGACUAAGCCUAUCAGAGACAGCGUAUCUCGGACAGUACUGAAGAGAUGGCUGAAGGGACCUCUGGGAGUGGCAAAGUUUAACGUCGAUGCUGCUGUCUCAAAAAAUGCAAACUUCGGAGUGAGUGUGACCAUUUGCCGCGACAACCAUGGCAAGUAUCUUGGAGGGUCAGUAUUGGUGUUUGAGGGGCUCGUUGACCCUGAGAGCUUGGAAGCACACACAUGCUGUGAGGCCUUUUCCUUGGUGGAGGAUCUUCACUUAACUCGGCUCAGAAUUGCUACAGACUGUUUAGCUAUUGUCCGUCACCUGAAGAGUAAGUUUAUGGGAGUUUCGUCCACCAUCAUUGGAGAAAUUGGGAAGAGAAUGCUGAAUUUUGUAGAAACAGAAGUAAUCCAUGAGGCAGGAGAAGCAAACUCUGAAGCUCACGAUCUUCCUAGGGCCUCAGUCUCUUUGCCUGCUGGUCGUUAUCUUUGGUUGUCCACCACGCCAGAUGUUUUAGCUGUACCAGAUGUUAUUGAUUCCUGA
rnacentral:rRNA from 1 species